rnacentral:tRNA from 1 species
GAAGGUAUAGCUCAGUGGUAGAGUGCAUGCCUAGCAUGCGUGAGGUCCUGGGUUCAAUCCUCAGUACCUCCA